AUUGAACGCUGGCGGCAGGCCUAACACAUGCAAGUCGAGCGAGAAAGUUCUUCGGAAUGAGUACAGCGGCGGACGGGUGCGUAACGCGUAGGAAUCUACCUAGUAGUGGGGGACAACAUGGGGAAACUCAUGCUAAUACCGCAUACGCCCUACGGGGGAAAGCGGGGGACCUUCGGGCCUCGUGCUAUUAGAUGAGCCUGCGUAAGAUUAGCUUGUUGGUGGGGUAAAAGCCUACCAAGGCGACGAUCUUUAGCUGGUCUGAGAGGAUGAUCAGCCACACUGGAACUGAGACACGGUCCAGACUCCUACGGGAGGCAGCAGUGGGGAAUAUUGCACAAUGGGGGAAACCCUGAUGCAGCCAUGCCGCGUGUGUGAAGAAGGCCUCGGUUGUAAGACACUUUAAGUACAGUGAGGAAAGGGGUAGGUAGUUAAUUAAGCUGCACUCUGUGACGUUAACUAGCAGAAUAAG
rnacentral:rRNA from 1 species